UCUUUAAAUUUUAUUUCUAAUGGCAUACCUAUGUAAUUACUUACAAAAAAUAAGGUUACAUUUAAAAUAUACUUCCCAAAUAAUAUAGUAGGAUAGAUCGGAUUUUACACAGUUUAAUUCUGUUUGGAUCAUGAAUAACUUUAAUGGGUCAGGUUACCUGGUUUUAUUGUGCUCGAAUUCUAGAUAACAUUAAUUCUU
rnacentral:sRNA from 1 species